CCUACGGGUGGCUGCAGUGGGGAAUAUUGGGCAAUGGGCGCAAGCCUGACCCAGCAACGCCGCGUGAAGGAAGAAGGCUUUCGGGUUGUAAACUUCUUUUAGGAGGGAAGAACAGUAGACGGUACGUCUUGCAUUACCCACGACUUACUACCGGCCAGCAGCCGGGGUAACACGGAGGUGGCAAGCGUUGUCCGGAUUUCUUGGGUUUAAAGGGAGCGUAGAUGGGUUGGUAAGUCAGUUGUGAAAGUUUGCGGCUCAACCGGAAAAUUGCAAUUGAUACUGGAAGUCUUGAGUAGAGGUGAGGGAGGGGGAAUUCGUGGUGUAGAGGUGAAAUGCUUAGAUAUCACGAAGAACUCAGAUUGCGAAGGCAGCUUACUAAACGGAAACUGACAUUGAUGCUCGAAAGUGUGGGUAUCAAACAGGAUUAGAUACCCAGUAGUC
rnacentral:rRNA from 1 species